CCCGGGUCUUGUACACACCGCCCGUCACACCAUGGGAGUGGGUUUACCAGAAGUAGUUAGCCUAACCGCAAGGAGGGCGAUUACCACGGUAGGAUUCAUGACGUGGGUGAAGUCGUAACAACGGUACC
rnacentral:rRNA from 1 species